UCGAUCAAUCGGAUGGUCGCGGGUGUCAUAACUGACUCUCGAGGAAAGUCCGGGCUCCACAAGGCAAGAUGGCGGAUAACGUCCGCCGGGGUUAGCGUUAAGGCUGACUUUAGGGAAAGUGCCACAGAAAAUAUACCGCUCGUCAGAGUAAGGGUGAAAAGGUGCGGUAAGAGCGCACCGCGCUUUGGGUAACCAAAGUGGCAGGGUAAACCCCAUCCGGAGCAAGACCAAAUAGGAGUGAACGCCCCCUUGGGGCAUCUGCGCCUUGCAGAUCACUCGGGUAGGUUGCUUGAGGUGACUGGUAACAGUCACCCUAGAUGAAUGACCAUCCAGUAGUAGUACUAUGGACAGAACCCGGCUUAUAGAUUGAUCGACCCU
rnacentral:RNase_P_RNA from 1 species